rnacentral:rRNA from 1 species
UGGGGAAUAUUGGACAAUGGGGGCAACCCUGAUCCAGCAAUACCGCGUGUGUGAAGAAGGCCUAUGGGUUGUAAAGCACUUUCAGUAGGGAGGAGAGGCUUGUGGUUAAUACCCAUAAGCGGAGACGUUACCUACAGAAGAAGCACCGGCUAACUCUGUGCCAGCAGCCGCGGGAAUACGUAGGGGGCAAGCGUUGUCCGGAAUUAUUGGGCGUAAAGAGCUCGUACGUGGUUAGAUAGGGUGGAUGUG